CGCUGGCGGCAGCUAACACAUGCAAGUCGAGCGGUAGAGAGAAGCUUGCUUCUCUUGAGAGCGGCGGACGGGUGAGUAAUACCUAGGAAUCUGCCUGAUAGUGGGGGAUAACGUUCGGAAACGGACGCUAAUACCGCAUACGUCCUACGGGAGAAAGCAGGGGACCUUCGGGCCUUGCGCUAUCAGAUGAGCCUAGGUCGGAUUAGCUAGUUGGUGAGGUAAUGGCUCACCAAGGCUACGAUCCGUAACUGGUCUGAGAGGAUGAUCAGUCACACUGGAACUGAGACACGGUCCAGACUCCUACGGGAGGCAGCAGUGGGGAAUAUUGGACAAUGGGCGAAAGCCUGAUCCAGCCAUGCCGCGUGUGUGAAGAAGGUCUUCGGAUUGUAAAGCACUUUAAGUUGGGAGGAAGGGCAUUAACCUAAUACGUUAGUGUUUUGACGUUACCGACAGAAUAAGCACCGGCUAACUCUGUGCCAGCAGCCGCGGUAAUACAGAGGGUGCAAGCGUUAAUCGGAAUUACUGGGCGUAAAGCGCGCGUAGGUGGUUUGUUAAGUUGAAUGUGAAAUCCCCGGGCUCAACCUGGGAACUGCAUCCAAAACUGGCAAGCUAGAGUAUGGUAGAGGGUAGUGGAAUUUCCUGUGUAGCGGUGAAAUGCGUAGAUAUAGGAAGGAACACCAGUGGCGAAGGCGACUACCUGGACUGAUACUGACACUGAGGUGCGAAAGCGUGGGGAGCAAACAGGAUUAGAUACCCUGGUAGUCCACGCCGUAAACGAUGUCAACUAGCCGUUGGGAGUCUUGAACUCUUAGUGGCGCAGCUAACGCAUUAAGU
rnacentral:rRNA from 1 species